ACUGCCCCUCGUCGUGGUUCUUCGGGGUAUUUCGCGCCCUGAAGCCAAGAGGGAAGCCGGUGCCUUUGAAAGGAAAGCCGGCGCUGCCCCCGCAACUGUACCGGCGAGAUGACCGCUCUGCUCAAGCUGGCCCGAAAGCGGCUGGCCGACAGCCAGAUCUGGAUCAAUCCCGAUUGCGGCC
rnacentral:ncRNA from 16 species